GUUAUGCAGAGAUGGAUAGUCACGGUGGGGAGUGGGGGGCGCGAAUAGUUUUCUUCUUGCUAGGGGGGGCGUAACAGAAAAUAAUUGAGAAGCACUGAUUUGGACUGAAGCAUGGUGGUACA